rnacentral:rRNA from 1 species
GUUUUAUUAGAUUAAAAUAAUAAAUUGAUUUCUGCCCUUUGAAUUAAUUUUUAAAAGGCUGCGGUAUUUUAACUGUACAAAGGUAGCAAAAUAAAUAGUUUUUUAAUUGAAAACUAGAAUGAAAGAGUUGAUAAAAUAUAAAUUGUCUCAAUUUAAUUAUAUUGAAUUUAAAUAAAUAGUUAAAAUGCUUUUAUUUUAUUAUUAGACGAUAAGACCCUAAGAAUUUAAUAGUUUAUAUAAUAAUUUUAAURUUUGAUAAAWAGGUWAWUUAUUAUAUGAAUUAUUUUAUUGGGAGGAUAAUUAAAUUUUUAAACUUUAAUUAAUUAUUAACAUUAAUGARUGAUAAUUUUAUGAUAAUUUUUAUAAUUAUAAGAAUAAAUUACCUUAGGGAUAACAGAGURAUURUUUUGGAGAGUUCAUAUUGAUAAAAUAGAUUACGACCUCGAUGUUGAAUUAAAAURAAAAUUAAAUGGAGGUAUUUAAAAUUUUAGUCUGUUCGACUAUUAAAAUUUUACA